rnacentral:rRNA from 1 species
UACGGGGGGGGGCAAGCGUUGUUCGGAAUCACUGGGCGUAAAGGGUGCGUAGGCGGGUCUUUAAGUCAGGGGUGAAAUCCUGGAGCUCAACUCCAGAACUGCCUUUGAUACUGAGGAUCUUGAGUACGGGAGAGGUGAGUGGAACUGCGAGUGUAGAGGUGAAAUUCGUAGAUAUUCGCAAGAACACCAGUGGCGAAGGCGGCUCACUGGCCCGGUACUGACGCUGAGGUGCGAAAGCGUGGGGAGCAAACAGGG